AGAUUCUUGCACAACACAGUUUGACCUCCAAAACUGUGUCUCAGAUUUUUCCUAUUGUAUUUCAUUCUCUCAUAAAUCUAAAAAUCAAGUUUGCAACAUCAAUUCAUAAGAGACCACUAAAUUCAAUUGGGUAUAAAAUUUGUUCUAUUGAUGUUUUGGGAAAUCUGAGACACAGUUUUGGAGGUCAAGCUGUGUUGUACAAGAAUCU
rnacentral:sRNA from 1 species